AUGGGAGUCAAGAAUGAAAAGACAAUUGACUUUAGAUGGGCUGGAAAAGGCUUCACCAAAGCAGAGCCUAGGGUGAUCACCAAUGCAUGGGGAGCAGAGGAGAAUGGGAAGGCAGUCCCAGGAGAGGACCACACGGAAAUAUACACAAAGGUGGAAGGGAGAUUCACGGGGGUAUACUUGAAACACACUAAGAGACUAUGCAUGAACGCAGAUUUGAGAAAGACAGCCAAGCUCGUGUUUUCUCCUGAUCAAGAAAAUCAUCCAUCUAAAGCACCAGUAAACCGUGGGGAACUCAUUGUCUUAGGGUAUAAAGGGUCUCUCCCAAAUGGCCAUAGAGGAAGGAGGAAAAGUAGGUUUGCUUUGUUUAAAAGACCUAAGGCAAAUGGGGUGACGCCCAGCACUGUGCAUAUUGCUUCUAGGCACCAGCAUAGCAUAUCAUACACUUCAUCUCGGGCCCGGACUCUGGUGGUUGAAUAUACUCAUGACAACAACACUGGUACGUUUCAGAUUGGCCGGUCAACUGAAAGCCCCAUUGAUUUUGUAGUAACUCACAGUUCCUGGAAGUCAAAGUAAUUCUGAUACACAGUCAGUACAAAGCACUCUAUCAAGAUUUGCCUGUAGAAUGAUAUGUGAACGGAAUCCUCCCUUUACAGCACGGAUUUAUGCUGCAGGAUUUGACUCAUCAAAAAACAUCUUUCUUGGGGAAAAGGCUGCCAAAUGGAAGACAUCAGAUGGGCAGAUGGAUGGCUUGACCACUAAUGGCGUUCUUAUAAUGCAUCCACGCAGUGGGUUCACAGAAGACUCCAAGCCUGUACUAUGGAGAGAAAUAUCAGUGUGUGGAAAUGUAUUUAGCCUGCAUGAAACCAGAACAGCUCAGCAGAGAGGAAAAACGGUGGAAAUGGAAACCAAUCAGUUACAAGAUGGCUCGUUAAUCGACCUUUGUGGUGCAGCGUUGCUAUGGCGUACUGCAGAAGGCCUUUCCCACGUUCCUACAGCGAAGCGUUUAGAAGCUUUAAGACAGGAAAUCAAUGCAGCAUGAUCUCGUGCCCUGUAGGGUUCAACACCCUAGCAUUUCCUAGUAUGAAAAGGAAAGAUGUAGAUGAAAAACAACCAGGGGUGUAUCUAAACUGCCAUGUACAUGGCUAUCAUAACUGGGGAAACAAAGAAGAACGUGAUGGAAAAGAUCGUGAAUGUCCUAUGUGUGGGUCUGUCGGUCCCUAUGUUCCUCUGUGGUGUGGAUGUGAAGCUGGAUUUUAUGUGGACGCCGGCCCUCCAACCCAUGCGUUUAGCCUGUGUGGGCAUGUGUGUUCAGAAAAGACAACUGCCUAUUGGUCCUAGAUCCCUCUUCCUCAUGGUACUCAUACUUUUCAUGCAACCUGUCCCUUUUGUGCACAUCAGUUGGCCACUGAACAAGGCAACAUCAGACUUAUUUUUCAAGGACCUCUAGACUAACAGACUAUUGUCCUCCAAGACUACAUUAUAAAUUUAUAAGCUAAGUGAGUUGGGUUUUCAAACCUGUCCACAUCACAGUUUUUCUGCUCUGGUCAUUUGCAUUAAGAUGACGAAUUUUUUUAAACAUUUAUAAUGAAUAGAAGCAAUUUCUGAGCAAAAAUCUGGGAAACUCAAGCAAAGGAAUUUCUGAAGGCACCAGUCUUCUGAAUUCUGAGUUUUGAGAGUAUAUUUUGAGGAGAAAAAGACAUAGUCUAAUUUGAUGCCUCCAUUUUAGUGUUUUUGAAUCACCCAUCCUCAGUGCUGAAAUUGUUUUGUGUAACUGAGAGUACUGUUGGUUCAAACUAUGUUAGUUUACAGUUUGUUGCAAACAUUGUAAAAUACAGCAACAUGUAUAUUAACUUUUUUCUAUUUAUCUUUAUUAUAGAAAAUACCUUAGAAUGUUCUUGAUAGAGUAGCAUGGUAACGAUGGUGGCACACCCUUGGUGUGAAUGGUAGCUUAGUGAGCACCUAGCUUAAGGAUUUGCAAAGUUAGGAAGAAGGACCAGAGAGCCUCCUUCCCCACCCCAGUCUAAAUAAUUUGGUAAAUUAGAAUAUUUUGUAAUUUGUAAGACCAAAUUCAUAUUAAUUACCAUGUAUGAAAGGUGUUUGUUUUUAAUCACAUUGAAGAUACCUAGGAAAGACUUUUUCUUAAUGUUUCUCUCAAGCGUAGUACUAUAACAAAAACUUAAUGCUAAGAAACAUUUUAUAUGCUCCUUUGAAUAUGCAAUUUAAUCUAGAUUAUCUAUUUUUCUCCCAUGAUAACUAAUCUGUUUGUAGUAUCAGCAACAUUUGGCAAGUUUAUUUUUUGGAUGUAAACUGUGGUUCAUCUGUUCACUGUUCCUAGAAAAAAGUCCUUCCCAUAAGAAAAAGUAUAAAUUAGCAAGAAAGGAGAGUGACAUGAUUUGCUUUUAGAAAAAGAAAUGCUUAAGUAAUUUUUCUGUAUUUGGCUUUAUUCAGGCAUUAGGAAAUCUAGAGAUCUGAAGGGUUGAAUGACAAUAGGGCCCCCUUUUAGCAGACCAGCCUUAACUCUGGGUUUGAAUCCUAAGGGAUUGCCACAGUGAGAUUGAAGCAAAUGUUUGCUUGGCAGAUGCAGCUGAGCACCAAUGACUGCAGUGUGGAGUGACCACCGCAUGGUCUGUUUGUUCUCUAAUUCCAGUAUGUCCUUUCCUUCUGGAAGAAAAACAAGUUUCUUCUCUCCCCUCCUUCCCACCCUUUUUUCAAAGGCACCACAAGUAUAGACAGUUGCACUACAUCAAAUCAUUUUUUGACACUUGUAGAAACCAGUACACUUAGAUU